rnacentral:rRNA from 1 species
GACGAACGCUGGCGGCGUGCUUAACACAUGCAAGUCGAACGGAAAGGCCUUUUCGGAGGUACUCGAGUGGCGAACGGGUGAGUAACACGUGGGUGAUCUGCCCUGCCCUCUGGGAUAAGCCUGGGAAACUGGGUCUAAUACCGGAUAGGACCGCACUUUAGUGUGUGUGGUGGAAAGUUUUUUCGGUGUAGGAUGAGCCCGCGGCCUAUCAGCUUGUUGGUGGGGUAAUGGCCUACCAAGGCGGCGACGGGUAGCCGGACUGAGAGGUUGGUCGGCCACAUUGGGACUGAGAGACGGCCCAGACUCCUACGGGAGGCAGCAGGGGGGAAUAUUGCACAAGGGGCGCAAGCCUGAUGCAGCGACGCCGCGUGGGGGAUGACGGCCUUCGGGUUGUAAACUCCUUUCGCCAGGGACGAAGCGUUUUGUGACGGUACCUGGAGAAGAAGCACCGGCUAACUACGUG